CCGCCCUCCUCUGCCUUCACCAACUGUGGCGCCAUCUCAUCCGGGGGCCGGUGUGGAAGGAACGUGGGGCGUUUCCUCACCCGGCCAGCCUGCACGUGGCCUGCUCUUGCUUCCCUGUUUUGGGGCCCGGUGGGCAGGUGCAGGGGGAGGGGUGUUGCGGCCAGGAGGCCCCCUCACCCCUGCCCGUGCAGGUGAGUGCGCCCCUUCCCAGAUGGAGACCAGCGAGACUCUGCACCCGAAUCGCUUGUCAGCUGCCACCUCCACUUCAAGGAAGACGUCCUUGGUUUCCCAGAACGUGAUGUGUUCACGGCAGAACUGGGAUUUGACGCCGCGCUGGCUCAGGCCCAGUGGUGUCGAGGCUGCUUCCUCUGUGACAUGGGAAGGACGGUGCCUUGGCGCCGAGCAGCGCAAGCGUGAGGCGGGGGGAGGACCCUUGCUAACCAGCCAAGGGCCAGACGGGGUGUCCGAGCGUCACUGCCACGACCCGUGCUGCCGGGCCACAGGCUGGAGCGAGCUGGCCACGUGACGCGGCGUGUCUGAGAAGCGGGGUCCCACGCGGGGUGCUGCGAGGGCUAAGGACGGCCGUUCUUGGAUAUGCUCAGCGCAGGGCCCAGCGCACACUCCUGUGCGGUCUCCACGCUCGCCGCCAGUGUUCUCGUGAGGACGACCGUCCAGGGGCUUUGGGGCCGUUUUUCCGUCCGUUCCCGGAACAUGCAUCCCAUCUUGAUCA